rnacentral:lncRNA from 1 species
GAGGAGGACUUGAUCGAUGGCUUCGCCAUCGCCAGCUUCGCCACCCUCGAGGCCUUGCAGAAGGAUGCAUCUCUUCAGCCCCCAGAGCGACUGGAACAUCGGCUGAAGCAUUCUGGGAAGCGGAAAAGGGGGGGCUCCAGUGGGGCCACCGGGGAGCCAGGGGACAGCUCUGAUCGAGAGCCUGGCCGGCCCCCUGGGGAUCGGGCCCGAAAAUGGCCCAAUAAGCGGAGAAGAAAAGAGGUGAGGUUGUCCCUUAAAACUCUUUAGGCAGAAUGUAUUUCCCACAGCCCCGUUUUUCAUCAGCAACGCCACUGCCCCUUGUAAACAGAGACCCCAGUUUCUAAGGGCAAAGAGGCAAGCAGGGCAAAUUUGAGCCCUU